CUGCUUCAGCAGCACAUAUACUAAAAUUAGAAUGAUACAUAGAAGAUUAGCAUGACCUCUGCACAAGGAUGGCAUGCAAAUUCAUGAAGUGUUCCAUAUUUUA